GAGCACUGCUGCGGGAGGAAGUUCCCGUUGGCGUCACACUGCGGGACGAACAUACCGAUGGGUACGUGGGCAGCGACGUGGUGAUCACUGAAGUUUGCUACGGGCCCCUCGUCACUGAGUCCACCACCUGAAUAAAAGUCUCUCCUGUUAAAGUUGGAAACACUUCCUUCUGUUCCUGAAGAAAACCCUCGCCAGCAAACGUGAUACAGGCAGCAACAACAAUUCCUCUAAACUUAUAAAACAAAUAAAUGGUAUACAAAUCCGAUUCUGUAUUAGAAAA